CUUAAUGGUUGAAAAAUCACAAUAACAGGGCAAGUAUACAUCGAUGCCUCUCUGACAUAUUCUCCCUGCUUCCAGCAAUCCUUGGAUAUAAACAUUGUUUUUGGAUUUACCUUCCUUGGUGGAAUAAUUUUCAUGAAUUGACCCCAUUGCUGUUUGAACUGAACGCAGAUCUGAAUUAGUGGAAAGUAAUAUAUAGCACACAGCAGAGUUGCCCUGAGUGCACUGAAGAGUAUGGCUCAGUAUUUCCAUUGCCCUUUCAUUUGAGAAACAGACACACCCCCAGUUAUCUGGCCACUGCAGGCACCUCAGCUGUGAAGAUGGAAGAGAAGAAGUAAUCCCUACGAACGGCAGCUGAAAAUUUCUUCAGGAAACUUCCCAAUAACAGGGCCAUGAAUAUGAAGGUAAUUAAGGAUGGCCUCUACAUCCAUGCUACAUGUGAGAAUAUGAAGACACCCAUCAGUACCAGGACUUUUCUCACCUGAUACUCACUCCACUACUUUUCUGAGGAACAAGAAUUAGGGUAAGGCACAAGCCUGAUAACUCCUAUGUGAUAAAUGGCCCAGUCAAAACCAAUGACAAUGCCUGAGGAUCUGGAAGACUCUUGUGUGGAACUAUAAGCAGAGACCUUCUGCUGCCUGAGAAUCUGUAAAGCAGAUUUAGUUUCUUUAAAAGGACAGCUGGACUCUUAUCACCUGCUGUGCUUGCGUUCUUCCCAUCACUGUUGAUAUAACUUAGACUGGAAUCCGAGUCUCUAAUAAAACAUUUGAGUGUUUUAUUUUGCAUUUUAUGUUGUUGUGGUUUUUUAAUGCACAUCAAAGUCAUUCAUAAUUCCCAGAAUUUUCUACACUGAACUGUUUGGUUAAGCAAAGACGUUGGUGAUGGUGUGAAUUAUUUAUUUAUACAGUGUACUUUUAAGUUGGGGCCAACAUUAAUUUGGCUGGGUCACUGGCAUUGUGGAUUUAAUUGCCAUGUAAAUAUCUACGGCGUCUAUGUCUUUAAUUAGUGUGCUAAAUUCUACACAAUUUAUGAAUAAAAUAUAUUCAUUUUGACAUUUUAAAACAGUUAUUUUAUUAAUGAAAAAUUUAACAGCAUUAUGCCAAUUCCCUUGCCUUUUGUUAAUUAUAUGCCUCUCGCAUUUUCUGAUAUGUUAAUUUUGUUUGGUAUAAAUAUUUGUCCUCAUUAAGAAGAAUACAUUGUCAAUGUUGACUAAUUUUUUUCCUCUGAACAGAUAACUUAAAUGAGACUUCAUUUUUUUCUUCUUGUUACUCUUACUGAUUUGUAAGACUCAUCUAGCUCUGUUCUAUAAAAUCCUGUUCACCCAAGGAAUGAACGGCCUAGCUUUCUCUACGUGGUGUGCAUGCCAUGUUGAAAAGGAUAUUGGACAGGAUUUAGCUAGCUAUGUUUUUUACAAGAGGGAAUAAAGAGAGAAGUUUUGCUAAGAUACACUGUCCCUUCUGUGAACUUCUGCUGCUAGAUUGGCAAUUCACACAUGAUGCGUGCUGAAAGGUUUAAAGAAUGCAGAUAUGGAACAAGGGGCAUGAACAGGACGAGGCUGUGGUGCCAGAGUGCUUCUAGAGCAAUGGCAAAGCCAUAAACUAUACAGGAAAAGCUAUGUCCCUCUGAAAAGCAAGUGCUUUUUUAACCCCACGUUCCUGGCUAGGGUAACUCUGACUCCCUUUCCCUCUUAAAGAAUAGGAAAGCAAAUAACAAAAUAAAAUUGACAUACAGCCAUGAGUCUCUUCUGUCACACAGCUUGCUUAUUUUUACUUGCACAAGAGCUGAUAUCAUGCCAAGACCACCAGGGAGGUGCAAGGGAUGUUCUGAUGGGAAAGGAGAGAGCUGGGCCAACAGGUGUGAAACGUUCAGAGAAGGAAACAGCAAGUCUGCCUCUGCAAAAUGGGAGGGGUGGGAAUGGCAGCUACAAAUACUUGUUUUAAGAACCAGCUUCAUUUUAAAAACAUGAAGUCCCCUGUUUUUGUCAGGCGCCUAUGUCUCAUGUUUGACAUGAAAGCUGAAAAGGGAGGCCAGGCUGAAUGCUGAAGGUAAAGCUUGCUGAUGAGGAGACAAAAUAUUGACCCCUUGCAUGAUUUGGGAUAAGAGUUCAAGAAAAGAGACUGGGGGUCAUAGAAUAGAAUCAUAGAAACACUAAGGUUCGAAAAAACCUCCAAGAACAUUGAAUUUCAGACUGAACACCAUGUUGGCAACAAAACUGUGUCACUUCUUGCUCUUUUCCAGUAAUUUCUUGAAUGCUUCCAUGAAUGUUGACUGCAUCACUUCCCUAGGUAGUCUGUUUUAA